UGUUUCCUGGGAUGAUGAAAUUCUAAAUUUUUAAAAAUUCCAAGGUUUGCACAGGCACAAUUAGUAUAUAAUACACGUUAUUUACAUGACAAAUGCCCGUCCUCGUUCCCUUUCCAUACUUUUAGCUUUAUGCUGAACUGUGCCGUGACUCUGGCAUUUUAUCUGUACAUGUCAUGUGUGGGUGUGUGUUAUUCAAUCUGUGGCUGUUGAAAUUAUAUCAGAGUUUAUGAAAAUUUCUCAGUGGUACCAGGGCCUGGAUUCUAAAUGUUAAGAGUUUCUCUAAGUGUUAAUAGGAUAUUUGUAUAUUAGUAGUGCCUUUAGUAUGAAAUUAGUGUUCAUUAUUUGUCAUUUAUGAUAGUCAUGUGAGUUUCUAUGAUUUUAUUUUCUAUUAAUUUUCCUAGAUUCAGAUGUUCAUUGGUUCCCAACAUUUCAUUUUUGGGAAUACAUGUUUCUCUGUAGUAGGAUCUGAAGUAAUGAGGCUCAAGUAAUUCUGAGAGUGUGUCCUUUUUGCCUCACAAAGUAAUUUUUUUUUUUAUGGAAAUACAAAAAAGUUGAAUUGUGACAUAAGAUUAUGUUAACCUCUACUACUUUAAAGUGUA
rnacentral:lncRNA from 1 species